GAUGAACGCUAGCGAUAGGCUUAACACAUGCAAGUCGAGGGGUAACGUGUUGGAAGCUUGCUUCCGAUGACGACGACCGGCGGAUGGGUGCGUAACGCGUAUGCAACUUGCCUCACAGUGGAGAAUAACCCGGAGAAAUCCGGACUAAUACUCCAUACACUCUUAAGUACGCCUGUACAUGAGAGGAAAGAUUUAUCGCUGUGAGAUAGGCAUGCGUCCUAUUAGGUAGUUGGUGAGGUAACGGCUCACCAAGCCGACGAUAGGUAGGGGUGCUGAGAGGCAGAUCCCCCACAUUGGGACUGAGACACGGCCCAAACGCCUACGGGAGGCAGCAGUGAGGAAUAGUGGUCAAUGGAGGAAACUCUGAACCAGCCAAGUCGCGUGAAGGAAGAAUGGCCUGAGGAUUGUAAACUUCUUUAGCGAGCGAGUAAGGACUUCCACGUGAUGGGAGUUUGAAAGUAGCUCGAGAAUAAGUAUCGGCUAACUCCGUG
rnacentral:rRNA from 1 species